ACAGUCCAAAAGCUCACUGCGUGUAUUUGCAGCCAUGCCUUAGCUGAAGAUGCAGUGUUUGGGCCUCAUCUCUGGUUUCUUAACAAUGUUUCUGUAAAUUGCAGCACUUGCUGGAAGGAGACAAGACUUGGGAAAGAAGAUGGAAAAGUUCUUAGAAGUAAAAGUUGAUCAAGUUCAGCAAUUAUCUGGUCUGUGUAUCUGUGUAUGCCUGGACGUGUAUACAUGCAAUUACUACAGAGCCAGGCUGAAGCUUGUAAAUAAGAACCACAAUAACAAGGCAGAUAUAAAAUAAACAGCUCAGGAGAUCAAAGAGAGAAGCACUCAAUAUAUGUGAAACAGAAUAUCAGACAUAGCGCUAAAUAGGAUCAGACUGGAAACUUAAACCACCACUGUGCCAAGUCCAAGGCUGGAAUAAGUUCAUGGAGUUUCGUGGUAAACCAGGGAUGAGUUUGGCAUGGAGUGAACAUUUUGUUCUCGGAGCUAUUGUCUUGAGCUCCUGAACCAGCUAUUUCCUGCCAAACUCAGCUGGCCUGAAGGUCCAUCCUCCAGUUCCCUGAGGUGAUGGGCGCAGAGAUUCUGUGCUUUGUCUUACAGGAGAACUAGUGCUGGAGCUGUCAUGCUGCCAUCUGCUUGCCUUUGAGAAGAACAGAAGGGGCUCAGGACAGGGGACAUUCCUUCAGUCACCAUCAAAACCCAUGAAGUGUGAGAAGGGCUGCUCCAUUUUAUUGUUUUCUGUUCUUGACGGCUGCUGUACUGCCCUCGCCACCACAGGACCCACAGGCUGGGCUUGCCUGUGCUACAUGGUGCAACCAGACUCUGCCAAAUGUGGGUCAGCAACUUUCAUCCUUUCCCUCAGGAGAAAGAGGAGUUCUCUGUGUGUGUGUUGGUGUUUCUUUUGACUACUUGUGGCUCAAGUAGUCUUUGACUUGUUAGGUCAAAGAAGUGCAUCUUAACAAAAAUCAGGAAUGGAGAGGUCUGUGAUGACCUAUGGGUGCCUUUAUGAGUUCGUUCUAUGAAGCCUUGCUCCUGAGGAAGUUCUGUUUCUCACAAAGUUGACUGUGCCAAAGAAAUGGUGAUAUUUACCUUGGUCAGGGCUUGGGAUGCCUGCACCCAGAAUCAUACAUACGGCUUGAUAGCCAGCACUGAAAGAAAAUAAUAUUUGUGCUUGUGUUUGCAGUAGCUCAUGCUACUUGCUGCUAGCUGAAAGUUCCAAGUGGCUGAAUACUUCAGAUCUAGAUAUGCUGUGCUGCCAUAGCGCAAAUAGGAGACUUGACAAGUUCAAUUACCACUAGGUUAUGAUUUGUCAGAUUGACAAAUCCUGACAGGUAACAAAAUUACCAUCUGAACAGAGACGGGAAAACACUAGUAAUACUUCCAUGUAAAAGCUUUGUGUAUGAAAUGAACUAAAAAAAAAAAACUAAACAGAACAAAAUAAACCCACAGCCAACACACAAUGUGCAGACUCAAAGAGAAGACUUCAGACUCUUAUGCACCAACCUGUACAUUCACAUUCAAUUCCAAAAGGCCCUUUUCCAUGCCUGUGCUGAUUUAGAUCCAGAUUUGGAUCAUCCUGCUGAUUAUGAUCCAUAUAUGGCACCUGAUUGGAAGGACUCUCUGCAAUCUGCAUGUUGCUGACGUUUGAUUCAUGCCUGCUAAGGCAUUUCCCCAAGAGGAAGUCUUUUGGUUCACUUCUGUGGCAAUGACUUGAGGGCAUUUUCAUUUCUGUGAUCUCAUCAGACCUCACAACAAAACAGAGCCAAAUAUGCUUGGCAUUUGGCUAGAAGACUUUAUGAAAACCAGUAAGCAAGAACGGCAUGAAGUUCUGCCAGUGAAUCAGUAGGGGCGCUAUGCACUGGGCCCAUCAGUAAAUGAGUACACUUAAAUGUGCAUGAACAUUUGAAUGUAUGCAAAUGUGGAGAGAGGCCAAAUCAUCUUUCUGCAUCAGCAGAACCCUGUGCUAAUUGCCCUGUGAUACCACUGGGAUGCUGCUGCAUGCCUAACAGUGAGCUGGCAGGUACGAUAAAUGAAUGGAAAGUUGGGUGAAGUUUAAAAAAAGUCUGAUUUCUCAGGUUAUAUGGUCUUUGGCCUCCACCAUUAUGUUGUUCUCUUAAGUCCCAGAAUUUUUAUUUGCAAUAUCAUCAAAAAACUCCUGCUAGUUUGCACGCAAGCAGACCCUCUGGCAUGUGUUGCCUGAGUCCAUUGUUUGUUUGUCUGGCCUUUGUAUCUGGGUGUGGAGUAGAGCAUUGGAAGAAGGCAUAAGAAGCCCUCAGUCUUGUCUUUACAAAACCCUAGUGUUAUACACAGACUAAGGAGUUAACAGAUCAUGGAGCUUUUCUGUAACAGAUUUAGAAAAGCAGAAACCAAGGUUAUUUACUGUUCCCACACUCUGCACUCAGAGCAGUUUUAAAUUGCUAGGUUAACUAGCCAUUCCUGAAAGAAAUUUUCUGUUCACCAAUGUAAUCUUUGUGGUUGAAGCAGAAAUUACUUACAGACAGUGAAAUAUGUCUUGCAAAGGCAAGCUUCAGCCAAUGGAAUAUUUUAAAAUUCAGCUGUGAUAUAUGUUAGGUUCUUUCUGGCUGGGGGUUAGUUUGAUCUAUACCUUUUCAUGCAGACAGUCAGAAGAAAUGUCUUAUUUGCUAAGAGACAUGUCAUGGAGAUAUGAUGUAAAGAAAAACAUAUUCAAAAAUUGCUCUCAGUUCUAUUGUAGUUACUGCUAAUAGCACUGAGAUGUAGUGUAAGCACACCACAAGCCAACUUCUGAUGCCAAUUACAUCAGUGUAAAUGAGAUUAGAAAUUGGCCCAAGCCUCUAGGUUUAAACAUGACUGUUUUGAACUUUAUUUUCAGGACAGAUAAUGUUUUCGAGGAAAACAAGGCACUUGUUAAUUUUAGCAGUUUUGUCUCAGCACAGUUUGGAAACAGUUCUGAUAUAUUCUGAGCACUUGGCUUUAUUUUGCUGUUUGUUGUAUUGCCUGAGCAUCAGCACAACUCAGCCUGUCAGAUGAGAUGUUUCAAUGAACAAAAUACAGGUUCGAAGGCUGGGGACCAAUAAUGAGAGAAAUGCAAACAACCGUCCUUAGGCAUGGAUUUCAUAUUUUGUGAAUGACAUAUUUUCCUCUCUGGUAGGUCUGUACUAGGUCUAACUCAAUUCCAUCUGGUAUUCAGUGCUUAGGCUGCUUAUUAUUGGAUGUAGAAAUCCAUAACAUAUUUCAAACAGAUCAACGGUAUCAGAAAACUUGCCAUCAUGCAGGAGUAAAACAAUCCAGUAAGAUAAGAAUUAAUUUAUUUUCCUUGGAGCUGUAAUCUUUUUGGAUACUCAAAAAACAAUGUUUUUUUGACCUCUUGAUUAAUUGACAUACUUACAGAAAAGAAACAACAUUUGUCUUAUGCACAAAACAUCUGAAUACAAACCUGAAUCUGUCCCAAGGAAAAAUAAUUGGGACUGAUACUAUUUAGGACAUCAAAAGUCUCAGGUAACUUCUAAGCUUCACUUAUACUCUUCUUUUGAAACUUGGCAAGAGGCUUCUGUGCUGGCCUUUAGUACAGGCAUUGUUGUUGCUGUGAAUGUUACCAAGCUAACUUGAGAUUCAGGCCAAAGAUGUGGACCUAAAUGUACUUUCCAGAGAAGAUGAGUGUGCAAAGUUCAGUUUUCAAAGAAAAAAAGCAACCAAGGUGUCCUCAUGGAAGAUCAAGGCUCUUAAAAAAAGUUCUGCAAGAAUUACAGUCCAAACCAAGUCAACUGAGAGCAAGGAACUAACCAAGGAACACAAGAAUGCAGGAAAACAUGUGAAAGAUCUAAUCACUAAUGAGAAACAUUUACUCCCUCACUCUCUGGAUUGUGUGCUGGUCUUCCGUUCAGUUUUUCUUUUUUUUUAUUUUUUUAAAAAAGUAUUUUCUGUGCUAUAAUUCACAACAGCUGGAAUCAUUUUGUGUGUAUAUGUGCGUGCAUGUGUGUAUGCAUCGGACAAAAGAACAUUACCAACUUGAAAAGGAAAAGGAUGGGCACUGGUUUUGGAACUUGGCUCUGAAGGGGAUGCAUAAUGAUAUGAGAAAGAUUAAGUAAGUGGAGGAAGCUGGGGGAUCUUCUAGCCGCAAGGCUGCUGCAAUGUGGGUGGGCUCAGUGAGGGUCUCAGCACACCCUGUCCUACCAGUGAUACCCUGACCUGGGUUCAGAAAUUUCACAGUCCCGUGGAACAAGACAGUGGAUACAUUCCCUGCAAAGCUUUCUUCAACCAAAAUCAGUUUGGAUUGAGGCCUGGCCAGUGACUGAUAGCUGUGCACAGUAAUUUCAGUUUCUUUUACAUAAACAUAAUGAGGCGUUGUUUAUUGUGGUCCUGAAAGCUUUGGAUUUGAGAUAUUGGGGAAAACAAACAAAGAGACACUUUGCGAGCUCUCUGAGCAGUAAAUGGUUCCCCUUGGCAUGCUCUGACAGGCCAUUUCAUUUUAGCUUUGCUGAAUCAGCUUAAUGGGGAAAAUUCAAAACUCAUUGCCAAACUCUUAUGGCAAUUUCUCUUUACCACAGUGGUCAUAAACAGAUGUUGUUAUCCUCUAUAUUGGGAACCAAAUAUUCCUUGGGGUAGGUUUGUGUAGGAAGUGCAGAUUGCUCCAAAACUAGGGAAAGGCUGAGGGUUAAGGGCGUGCACAGUGGAACACUUGGGUUUGUCACGUGGAACACGCGAAUUCCAUCAAAAAUUGACAUGUGUGACACUGGCCAAUGUGACACCAAAACAUGUCACUACCUGUGUUGCAUCAAAUACAACUUGGAAGAGGAGGGGCCAGUUCUCGUAUUUUUAUCUCAUUAAAUGAUGUGAAUGCAAUAUAUAUAAAAUAACCAUCUCCCUUCCACAAGGCUUCUGCAGCACAAUGACACAACUAAGCCAUUAGUGUAAGUUAUAAGCUGACUUCCAAGGGAUAAGUUGUAUCAAGAAGUUAAAAACUUGUACUGAUUUAGCAGAGUUAGCACUCCAAAGGGGUAUAAUUAGAGUCCCAUUCCCAGACGCAAAGGAAGACAGAGGUUGCAUUCAAGGCCUUAGAUUGGCCUUUUGCUGGUGGACAUAGUACCAACACAAGGAAAUGUUCCUUGGGACAUAUUCAGCUUUUAUU